rnacentral:lncRNA from 1 species
AGGAAACAAAAACUUCAUUCAAGCCCUUUCUCUCUUUGGUCUCCUUUCUCUCUUCCCAAAUAGCCGUCUCUUCCUUCUCUCUCGACGUCGGCUUCUCUUUCAAGCACUGCAGCCGGCAAUGAAGGAGAUGUGUCGAUACCGACACCAACGUGGGGAGGCAACGCUGCUAUGAACGCAGCGUCCCGAUGGGUUCUGCGUGAUUGGGGGUUUAUUUAUUUUUCGAUCUAGCGGCGCUGGGUGUUGAUGGUGCUGGUGGCGGGCAGGCGAUAGUGGUCCGUCUGUGGUGGUAGUAGUGGUAUUGAUUUUGGUUGAUUUUGUGAUGGUAUGUUUGAUUGUGUUGGUGGCGGUCGACGAUGGUAAUGCGGUGCGGUGGAUGAAUUGAUGGUUCAUGGUGGUUGAAUUGAUGGUGGUGGUGGUGUGUUCUUGAUUUCUGCGGUAGAUGAAUUAAUGGUUCAUGGUGGAUGAAUUGAUUUUGGUUGAUUUCUGCGUUCUUCUUGUUCUUGAUGGUGGUGGUAUUAUGUUCAAUGGUUCUCCGUUCUCUGCAUUCUUUUUGUUCUGGUGGUCAAAAUUUUUUUUGGUGGUUGAAUUGAUGGUUCAUGGUGGCGGUGUUGGCAGUCGGUGGUUGUGUUGAUCUACGUUGGCAGUGGAUUCGAGCUAGUGGUGGCGGCUUUGUAGUGGACCUAGUGGCAUUGGCGGUGGUGGUGUUGUGGUUUCUUGAAUAAAAUAGCGUGAAAAAAUAUUCUCAAAAUUUCGAAGCAAAUGCAUUUUUCAUUUUAAUGUUUUGAGAAACAAUUUUACAGAAUAACAAAAAGAACGUAUUUUCAAAAAUUUCAAAGCAAUCCCUCAAAAUACAAAACUCAUAAUGAAUUCGAAACUCAAAAUUACAAAAUUGAGACAUGAAGAGAACAGUCCCUAAAUUUCUUAGAAAAUUUUUCAGGCUAGUUUUGCAAAUUAUGUAUAUCUAGGGACUAAACUACAAUUAAGUACCACAGAUUCUAGUAAAUUAUGGAAAGUUAGAAACCUUUAGUCGUUUUGAAGAUACAAAUCGUUGUUCUUAUUGAAUCAGAGAAUCAAAUUUUAAUGAAAAGUAAUUUUUUUACGAUAUAUUAGAACUAUUUCAAAUCAUUUCUGAUACAAUAGUAAAAUAGUAUCACAUAUAUGCAUGAUUAUACACUAUUUUAGGCCCAAUUUUAUCGUAAUUUCCAUAUUAUUUAUGUUGAUAAAAUAAUUUAG